rnacentral:rRNA from 1 species
AUUGAACGCUGGCGGCAUGCCUUACACAUGCAAGUCGAACGGUAACAGGUCUUCGGAUGCUGACGAGUGGCGAACGGGUGAGUAAUACAUCGGAACGUGCCCGAUCGUGGGGGAUAACGGAGCGAAAGCUUUGCUAAUACCGCAUACGAUCUACGGAUGAAAGCAGGGGACCGCAAGGCCUUGCGCGGACGGAGCGGCCGAUGGCAGAUUAGGUAGUUGGUGGGAUAAAAGCUUACCAAGCCGACGAUCUGUAGCUGGUCUGAGAGGACGACCAGCCACACUGGGACUGAGACACGGCCUAGACUCCUACGGGAGGCAGCAGUGGGGAAUUUUGGACAAUGGGCGAAAGCCUGAUCCAGCCAUGCCGCGUGCAGGAUGAUGGCCUUCGGGUUGUAAACUGCUUUUGUACGGAACGAAAAGACUCUUUCUAAUAAAGAGGGUCCAUGACGGUACCGUAAGAAUAAGCACCGGCUAACUACGUGCCAGCCGCCGCAGUAA